UACGUAGGGGGCAAGCGUUGUCCGGAAUCAUUGGGCGUAAAGCGCGUGUAGGCGGCCAGAAAAGUCCGCUGUGAAAACUCGAGGCUCAACUUCGAGCUGUCGGUGGAAACUUUCUGGCUAGAGUCCGGAAGAGGAGAAUGGAAUUCCUGGUGUAGCGGUGAAAUGCGCAGAUAUCAGGAAGAACACCCGUGGCGAAGGCGGUUCUCUGGGACGGUACUGACGCUGGAGACGCGAAAGCGUGGGGAGCGAACAGG
rnacentral:rRNA from 1 species